GACGAACGCUGGCGGCGUGCUUAACACAUGCAAGUCGAACGAUGACGGUGGUGCUUGCACCAUCUGAUUAGUGGCGAACGGGUGAGUAACACGUGAGUAACCUGCCCUCCACUUCGGGAUAACCUCGGGAAAUCGUGGCUAAUACCGGAUAUGAGCACUCAUCGCAUGGUGAGUGCUGGAAAGAUUGAUCGGUGGGGGAUGGACUUGCGGCCUAUCAGUUUGUUGGUGAGGUGAUGGCUCACCAAGACGAGGACGGGUAGCCGGCCUGAGAGGGCGACCGGACACACUGGGACUGAAACACGGCCCAGACUCCUACGGGAGGCAGCAGUGGGGAAUAUUGCACAAUGGGCGAAAGCCUGAUGCAGCGACGCCGCGUGGGGGAUGACGGCCUUCGGGUUGUAAACCUCUUUCAGUAGGGAAGAAGCGAGAGUGACGGUACCUGCAGAAGAAGCGCCGGCUAACUACGUGCCAGCAGCCGCCGUAACAC
rnacentral:rRNA from 1 species